ACAAACAUGAAUAUAAAUGCUUUAGUAUGAAGAAGCCAUUGAUAGUUGUAAUAACUUUGCAUUGUUAAUUGGUAUCUUACAAAUUACAACUUAUGCAAACAAAAUUAUGUUGGUCUAUAAAUAUUGGUUAAAUGAACAUGUUUCCUGUACAUUUAUAAAUUCUCCAUAUGAAAAAUACUCAUCUGAAAUGCUAAAAGCAAAAAUGUUAUCAGUAGAAAAGCAGCUAUUUUAUGACUUUUUAAAGCAAGUUAUGUCUGUUAUUUUUCACCUGUUUCAAAGGAAUGCAUAAGAUGCUUUUAUAAGUGUUUUUGUUCAUGUAUAACAUACUUAGCACUUACUACAGAUGAAUGCUGUAGACUACUUAAUUUCAAAUGCCUACAUUUUCAAAACAAUGAAGACAUAUUACUGACCAUAAAAUGGAAAUAGCAACCAUUCAAAAUAGUUGAACAUUUAUUGUGUCAUUUACUCUACGGAGGCAAUCUCAUUAUUAAAGAAGUUAUAGCCAGUUUAUGUGCAUAUGUAGGUGCAAGUAUCUAUAAUGUACAUUAUAAUUUGUAACUAUCAAAUAUGUAAGUGUAAUGAAUAUCGGUUUAUUUUGAAUACAAGCUUAUAUAAAACAAAGA
rnacentral:lncRNA from 1 species